rnacentral:rRNA from 1 species
GACGAACGCUGGCGGCGUGCUUAACACAUGCAAGUCGAACGGAAAGGCCCUGCUUUUGUGGUGUGCUCGAGUGGCGAACGGGUGAGUAACACGUGAGUAACCUGCCCUUGACUUUGGGAUAACUUCAGGAAACUGGGGCUAAUACCGGAUAGGAGCUCCUGCUGCAUGGUGGGGGUUGGAAAGUUUCGGCGGUUGGGGAUGUACUCGCGGCUUAUCAGCUUGUUGGUGGGGUAGUGGAUUACCAAGGCUUUGACGGGUAGCCGGCCUGGGAGGGUGACCGGCUCCAUGGGGCUAGGGGAAGGGCCAGGAGUCAACCGGGGGCAAGGGGGGGGAACCUUUGCCAAACGGGCGGAGGCGUGAUGGAGAACCGCCGGGUGGGGAAGGCCGGCUGUCGGGUGGUAAACGCAUUCGGCUUGUACCGAGGUGUGAGGACGGUAAACGGGGAAAAAACACCGGCUAACUUCGGG